rnacentral:lncRNA from 1 species
CACGACUCUUUUUUUUUCCCUUUCUCCGACCCUCCUCUACCGUCUCCGACAAAAACGCCUCUCUUGCCCACUCUCGUUUUUCCCCGCCCUUCUCGUCCUCUUAUUUUCUCUCCUUCUCCGCCGCCUCUAACGACGACGUAUCUUCGCCGACGCCGAUACUAUGGAGGUCACGCGACACUGCAACCUUGGAGCGAGAGGUCCUUAGUAGCGUCGUCGCCAGCGCCGGCGACGUGACCGUUAGCAGAGACGGGUGAAAAAAAAAAUUAAAGAAGGAAGAAGAAAAAAAUAAAGAUAAAGAAUUAUAAAAAAAGAAAGAUGAAGAUGAAAUUGUAUCGUUAAAAUAAAAUUACAUUAUUUUAAAGAACGUUGCACUAUUAUGGAUAUAAGUUGCACUACUUAAGAUGUAAACUGCACUAUUUAAGAUGAAAAUUACACUAUUUAAACGAAAAUUAUACUCUUUGGGAGAUAUUUACACUGUUUCUCCUCUUAUUACACUCUUUGAGAUGUAAACUAUAUCUUUUAAGAUGAAAGUUACAUUCUUUAAAGAAAAUUUACACUUUUUGAGAGAUAUUUAUACCAUUUCUUCUCUUGUUGUACUCUGUGAGCUGUAAACUACAGAUUUUAAGAGAUAUUACACUAUUUCUCCUCUUGUUGCACUGCUUCUUCUUUUGUUGCACUAUUUCUACUCUUAAAGAGUGCAACAAAGGAAGAAAUAGUGUAACAAGAGAAGAAACAAUGCAACAAAGGGAGAAACAGUGUAACUAUCUCUUAAUGGUGCUGUUUACAUCUCAAACAGUGCAACAAAGAAAAAAACAGUGUAAAUAUUUCUCAAAAAGUGCAACUUUUGUUUUAAAAGUGUAACUUUUAUCUUAAAGGAUAUAGUUUACAUAUCAAAGAGUGUAAUAAGAGAAGAUACAAUGUAAAUAUAUUCCAAAGAGUGUAAUUUUUAUUUAAAAAAUAUAAUUUUUAUUUUAAAGGGUACAGUUUACAUCUUAAAUAGUGCAACUUAUAUCCAUAAUAGUGCAAAGUUCUUUUAAAAUAGUGCAAUUUUAUUUUAACAGCGCAAUUUCAUCUUCAUCUUUCUUUUUUAUUUUUGGUCAUUAUUUUUUUCUUUUUCUUUUUCUUUCUACUACAAUUUUAUUUUUGUCA